UUUAUACUUUUUUAAUAAUUUUUAUGAUUUUUUAAUAAUUUAAAUUAUCGCUAACGUAAUGAUAAAAUUAACCUUGCGUCACAUGCCCAAGCAUUGAGCCAGUAGAUUAUUACCUGACUUCUCUGUCGAAUUCAUCUUAUGCCCAAUUUCCAAAGUGGGCUGUAGAGCCGGUCUUAAGGGUGUGCAACAGGUGCCACCGCACAGAGCCCCCGAUUCAGAAGGGCCCCUAAAUUUUCAUUACAUGUAUACAUAUGCAUAUAAAAUAGAUUAGAUGCAAAAGAUAAUCUUAUCUGGGGUUCUAGCACAAGCGGUUUAGCUCUUCUUUAUUAUAGCCCAUGUGCUGGGUUCGAAUCCCAGUGAUAUAGUUUUGUUAUAUUUUAAGCUUUUGCUAAUUUGUAAACAGGAGAUAACAAAAAGGCAUCCAACGUGUAUCAAACUCAGGACCUUUGAAGGUAAGAAAAACACCUGACUAAUCAAAUAACUUAUUUUUGUUGCAGUAACUUAUAAUAUUUUAGUUUUAUAGAUGAAAAAAUUGAAAAAUAAAUAAAGAAAUAUAACAUUAAAAAAAUAACAAAUAAUAUUUUGCACAGGACCCCUCAAUACUCAGGGCUAGUCCUGUUGGGCUAGAGUGCUUUGGAGUGGAGUUGCUCGCACUGAUAAGGCUCUGGAUUUGAGUGGAAUUACACGUGGAGGGCUGCAAUAGUUGUGGUGUAUGUAUCUACAAGUGUACUGCAUAAGAAAAUAACAGAUUAUUCAUUUUUAUUUAAUUUUCCUUUUUUUUUGUUGCCUGAAUAUGUAGAAAAUCAUGAUUAAUGAUUAAAGUGGAGGAAAAGGGCAUAUGAUGGAGGAGAUUUGACUCUCCUCUACUUUUUUUGCUUUCUUUUUCAUUAUCUGGUUUUAGUUCUUGGUUAAAAAUAAAAAAAAUAAAAAUAAAGAGAGGUUUAUUUCCGACGAUGCUGUCUAAUUCUCAAAGAUAAUCUCACUUUAUCUUGUAAAACUUAGCACUCGUUUGGCAGGUGUGAAAUCUCGUUUCCGGAUUUCACUGCUUGAUUUUACGUAUUUCAUAUUUAUGCAAACUUAUUUUAUUUUAGGAAGUUUUAGUGUUUUAGUUACUUAGUUACAAAGUUGAUUUUCCUUAAUUAGUCAUUGAAAAUUCAUAGACCUUUUGAGGUCACUCUUAGUUUUUUUUUUUUUUUUUUUUUUUUUUUUUUUAGAGUUUGAUCUUAUGAAUGCAUAGGUGAAAACACGAAUAGAAGCUAUAACGAAGGAGAAAUUAAUGGGCAUUGGUGGAGACAUUUUGGUCAUUCAAACUUUCUAUUUAAGGAAUGCAUAUAAACUGGAAUGAGCCUUCCCAUUUGUGGAAAACUAAACUCACGGGUCAACCCGGCGGCCCAAAUAGUGUGGCAAUUUGACCUAGCUCCCUUCGAAAACUUUAACAAUGUUUCCAUCGAGUUCAAGCGAUGUUGACUUUGGCCACCACUCCCAUUCAACCCAUCUCUUGGUUUUGAACAUGAACCAAUCAAAAUUUGUCUCAUUUGUCCAGGUUGUCGGUUUCUAGAUGAUUCACGACCCGUGAUCACUCGAUUCUAGACAACAACAAUGAUAAUGGACAGUUAUAAGGAGUAUGAAGUGAUAAGUUGGGGACCAUAUUAGAAUUACUGCGCAUAACCUAUACAUUUGUGUGAUUAGAUAUUCGUUGGUCAUGUGGAAUCAAUAGUGUGUGUAAUUACAUUGUAAUUCAUGUUGAAUUGAUGUAUGAGCUAUGAUGUGUGAUGGUGUGACUGCACCAUAAGCAAUGUGGUACAUGAAUGGUCUAGCCUUGUUAAUCCACAUUAGAAAACCGUACACAUUCUAUGGGUGAUUUCACUUGAUUAAUUUGCCUUGGGAUCACUGCUUACCUUGUACAUCAUUUCCAUAGGCGAUUUCGCCUGGUUAAUCCAAUUGGGGAACCUCACUAUUAGAGGUUUGCUUAUGGUUCUGCCUGGUUAAUCCGCAUUAGGGGAUCAUACGCACUCUAAGGGUGACUCUGCCUAGUUAAUCCACGUUAAGGGGUUACAGUCUACUUGGUUACAUUACUUCGAUGGGUAGUCCAACCUGGUUAAACCGCAUUAAGGGACCACACUGCUAGAUGCUUACCUAUACUCAUGCGUAGAUAAUCCGCGUUGGGGGAUCAUACGCAUACUAGGGGUAACUCCACUUGGUUAAUCCACAUCAGGGGGUCAUUACCUACUUGGUUACAUUAUAAUCCAUAAGUGGUCAUGCCUCGCAAAUUCACAUUGGGGGACCACGCUAUAGGAUAGUUGCCUAUAGUUCUGCUUGGUUAAUUCACACUGGAGGACUAUAAGUUGGAAAUUUGAAUAGUUUGAGUAGAAAUUUUUUUGUCCCACAUUGGCCAUUCCCAAAAGAUUUUAUCACUUUAUAAGGCUUUGUUAUUUAUAGAAAGUGAUUUGAGUAAUAAGCUUGGAGAAUAAAAUUGGGCUCACCCUUGGGGUUGGGCUUUGGGGU
rnacentral:lncRNA from 1 species